UUUAAAAUAAUGUCCUGGUGCAGCAGCCACAGUCAGCCAGCGUCUGGAACAGUUCGGCGCCGACCGCCGCUCUCGCCGCCUGGGCUGCAGCUCCUGGCGGGCUCUCUCUGGGCCCGCGCCCCUCGGCUCCUGGUCUUCCUGGCCCAGUCCGCCGCCCGGCGCGUCUCUCCCCAGCUCCAGCGGCUCGGUCACUGCUCCUGGCUGUUGGCUGAGCUCUGGAAGCCCCCUCGCCUUAAUGCAGCGCUCGCCGACGUCACGGCGGCCCGCGACCAAUCAGCGCCUCGCCGUCCCUCUGUAAACCAUUCUGCAUCCCUCGGCCGGGGAGAGUGAGGGGAGACCGCGUUUAGAGGAUCAGUGGCGGCGGCACCCGCGGCCCCGCGCGGCGCGGGCUACGGGCGGCGAGGUGCCUGGCCCCCUCCUACUCCGGAAACAGCCACAGCACCUCGCUCUGAAGAACCAGCCAUAGCACUCGCUGUGGAGUGUCUGAUUUCAGAGGAGAGAAGAUGACACACUUGGCAUUCUCCUCCUAACUUGCUGGAGCCCAAGCUAUCUGAAAAACUAGUCCUGAUGACUGCUUCAUUGAUGGUGGAAGAGGAUUUGGGGAGCAGAGAACUUGGGGAAUGAAGUUUGGGUGAGUUCAGUUGCUGUUCAAGUCGGACUUGGCUUCCUCUGCCUCUAGGCUUGGUCUUUCUCCAUAGGAGAAAGGGUAGCAAGGGAAGCGUCUACCUCAGAAGCUCCGGCAGAGGAAGGAGCUCCUCAUCUCAGUCUUGUCAAGAGGAAGCUGGGGAUGGUAAUGACACCCGCUAGAGAGCGGAGCACCGAGGUUCCACGUGAGAUCCUGGCCCUGCCUCCGGAGAUGAGCAAGUCUUUGGCAAGUUUGAGACACCUGCAAGCGCCAUUUAUUCAUCAUCUCUGUGGACUAAAUUCGGUUUCUUUUUACUGCCUGGUGUCUGGCGAGGAAGCAUUUUCCAGCUUGUGUUACGUUCACGGGUAGUUCUACCAUCUUUUUGCUCAUGUCCUAGUUUGGCUUUACAGAUGGACACGCAGCAUUCCCAGCUCUAGUUUUGCUUUCCCUCAGGCCGUUUGUCACGGAGCGGCACUGCACUCUGGCCCACUAGCUGGCACCCGUUCUGGAGGGUGAGCUGGCAGGCCUGUGCCUGUGUGCAAGCUUUUCGCAGUCAGGUUCCGGGAAGAAUAUACCUUCCCUUUAAGUAAGAGAAGUGGGGAGCUGUUUCUAUGAACCUCUUCAGGAAGGAUUUACCACGCAAUUGAUAAGUGCAGUGCUCUUUUUCCUCCUUCUGAAUGAAUAACUUUGUCAGUCAACCUGAGGGGCCACAAAACCUAUAAAAAUGCUUCUUUGGUCCCCCUGUUUUAACACAUGCUGGGGCCUGGGUCUGCCUCUGACAGACUGGGAGGAGUAGACACAUUCCAGAGAUCAGGUCUUGGUCUUAUCUCUUCCCCUGCCCCAAAUCCUCACCCUCUGCCUUAUCUCUUUUUACUACAAAUGCAGAGACCGCCUAGGGAAGUGUGAAGGGAUGGGUUUUAAUCAGGUUUGGGGGAGGAGGGGCAAUAAGAAAGAUGAGAACAGUUGGAGUUUUUUAGAUGACACUCUUCUGUCCUACUUCUUGUGUGUUGUGUAUUGUAUCCUACAAAUUAUGAAUUGGUUGUAAUCUGCAGUGCAUAUGUGCAUUUGCCAAAUGCUGCUUGGACAAAACAGUGUUAAAUAAAAUGGUAAGAAAUCUA